rnacentral:rRNA from 1 species
GGGGAAUAUUGGACAAUGGGCGAAAGCCUGAUCCAGCCAUGCCGCGUGUGUGAAGAAGGUCUUCGGAUUGUAAAGCACUUUAAGUUGGGAGGAAGGGUUGUAGAUUAAUACUCUGCAAUUUUGACGUUACCGACAGAAUAAGCAACGGCUAAACUCGUGCCAGCAGCCGCGGUAAUACGAAGGGUGCAAGCGUUAAUCGGAAUUACUGGGCGUAAAGCGCGCGUAGGUGGUUCGUUAAGUUGGAUGUGAAAGCCCCGGGCUCAACCUGGGAACUGCAUCCAAAACUGGCGAGCUAGAGUACGGUAGAGGCUGGUGGAAUUUCCUGUGUACCGGUGAAAUGCGUAGAUAUAGGAAGGAACACCAGUGGCGAAGGCGACCACCUGGGCUAAUACUGACACUGCGGUGCGAAAGCAUGGGGAGCAAACA